AACAAAACAUUCCAGGAAUUCUACUAUCAAAGUUCUAUUCCGUGAACAUCUGAUUAAAUUAUGGCUGGAAAGUUACCACAAGAUAUUCUAUGAAAAGAGUACAAUGUCCUCCUGGAGGGGUAAAAUUUUCCAUACUCUAAAGAGAGGCCAUUUACUAUUCAAUUUGCGUUCAUUUUCAAAUUUGCCGCGCGAGUAUCUAUGUAGCGUCGCGUGGUCAUUGGUCAUCAAGUCAUCAAUUAUUUCAUUUUCAUCAUAAGAUAACCUAAAAAUUUAGUAAAAAUUUUGAUUGGAAAAAAAUGCAUCGAUAAGGGGGUGAAAAAUGGAAAUUAGUGGCUUUUUUUGCUGUACUCAACUGUACUGUUUAGUAUGCUCUAGUUUUGGCUAUGGCUGGAUCUCUUAAACAAUUAUAAUCAGCUGAAAGUGGUCUACAAAAAACCAGAUAUAACCAAAAUAAAGAUAUAAAAAGUGUAUUGGCUAAUUGGAAGAAACAACAUUGUCCAUGCAUAAUAAGUUAUUACUUUAUAAACAAAUAUUAAUACCUAGGAAUGGAACCUGGAUAUAAUCAUCAAGAAGAUAGCAGGAAUCCCGACAAACAACUUAAAUAAGUACAAGAAUAUUGAGGAAAUCCUCCUCGAUACUACUGGGCAAACUAGAAGAUUGAAGAGGACAAAGCCUUUUGAACUAGUUUGAGUGAUAGGUGAUAGUGAAAAGCAGAGCAUAGUGCGUGAUGUGGCUGUGUAUGUUAGAAUAGUGCACGAUCUUGUUAGAUUAGAUAAGAGACGCUAUCGGGUAUAUUUUGAACCAUAUUAAAAAAGAAGCCAGACUCGAUAAAACGUGCCUUAUCGAAAAAAUACAAAGAGGCAAAAAAGUUUUGAAAACACUCUGUUUAACUAAUGGUACCUCAGUAAUAGUUUAAUUGGAACAUACAACAUUUGGGGGGUUUAAAGGAACAAAACCCCCAUAAAAUUUUUACGUGGACAUAUUAAAAAAGAAGUCGCAACUCGAUAAAAACUGCCUUAUCUGAAAAAUACUAAGAAACAAAAAUAUUGAAUUUAACUAAUGGUACCACAAUAAUAAAAUUGAAUUGGAACAUACACAAAAGUUUGGGAGGAUUUAAGGGAUCAAAACCCCCAUAAAAUUUUUAUGGGGUGCACAAAUUUCACCAUAAUUUUUCUUUAAGAUAUUCCUGCCAUAAUAAUGCCACAUGUCACAUGUCCAUUUUCAAUAAAAAAUCGCUAAUAGUUUUCGAUAUAAUCGAAAAAAUCCAUUUUCAUUUUGUAAUUUCAAAGGGCUGUAACUUUUUAUGUGCAUAUUUGUACAAGGUAAGUUAGGUUCAUUUGAACUAUUUUUGGUCCCAGAAUAAUGUGAUUUAAUUUAUGACCUGUAUUUUUGUUACACCCUGUAUAUACAGCCCAUUACGCACCACCUUAAAAAUUGGGCAUUUUUGAUGUCUCGAAUUUCCUAAACCUGUUGUUGCAUCUAAGUGAUUUUUUUUAUAAUAUUCUAGCCUAGGCCCUAGAAUAUGUUACCUCCUUAUGCUUGUCAUGCACAGGGAGCUAUACUGUAAUAUAUAUUAUAUCACAUUACUAUAGAGAGCGAUAUGAUAUAAUAUACAUAUAUUACAGCAUGACAAGCUUAAGGAGGUAACCUAUAGCCUAGGCUAUAAUAUUAUAAAAACAUCACUUAGAUGGGACAACAGGUUUAGGAAAUACGAGACAUCAAAUAUACCCCAUAUUUAAGGUGGUGCGUUAAUUUCUUGGAGAAGUGUAUUGUAAUUUAAUGUAAAUACUGUAAUAU
rnacentral:lncRNA from 1 species